rnacentral:rRNA from 1 species
GAUGAACGCUGGCGGCGUGCCUAAUACAUGCAAGUCGAGCGAACGGACGAGAAGCUUGCUUCUCUGAUGUUAGCGGCGGACGGGUGAGUAAAACGUGGAUAACCUACCUAUAAGACUGGGAUAACUUCGGGAAACCGGAGCUAAUACCGGAUAAUAUUUUGAACCGCAUGGUUCAAAAGUGAAAGACGGUCUUGCUGUCACUUAUAGAUGGAUCCGCUCUGCAUUAGCUAGUUGGUAAGGUAACGGCUUACCAAGGCAACGAUGCAUAGCCGACCUGUGAGGAUGAUACACCACAUCGUAACUGAGACACGGUCGAGAAUGCUGCGGGAGGAAGCAGUAGGGAGUCUUCAGCACUGGGCGAAAGCAUGACGGAGCAACGCCGCGUGAGUGAUGAAGGUCUUCGGAUCGUAAGACUCUGUUAUUAGGGAAGAACAUAUGUGUAAGUAACUGUGCACAGCUUGACGUUACCUAAUCAGAAAGCCACGGCUAACUACGUG